UCUUUUUUAGUUUAUAAGAAUAUUUGCCUUCCAAGCAAAAGGUCCUCCAUAAGAGGAAAAAGAA
rnacentral:tRNA from 1 species